AUUGAACGCUGGCGGCAGGCCUAACACAUGCAAGUCGAGCGGAUGAAGGGAGCUUGCUCCUGGAUUCAGCGGCGGACGGGUGAGUAAUGCCUAGGAAUCUGCCUGGUAGUGGGGGAUAACGUCCGGAAACGGGCGCUAAUACCGCAUACGUCCUGAGGGAGAAAGUGGGGGAUCUUCGGACCUCACGCUAUCAGAUGAGCCUAGGUCGGAUUAGCUAGUUGGUGGGGUAAAGGCCUACCAAGGCGACGAUCCGUAACUGGUCUGAGAGGAUGAUCAGUCACAAUGGAAAUGAGACAAGGUCCAGCCUCCUACGGGAGGCAGCAGUGGGGAAUAUUGGACAAUGGGCGAAAGCCUGAUCCAGCCAUGCCGCGUGUGUUAAGAAGGUCUUCGGAUUGUAAAGCACUUUAAGUUGGGAGGAAGGGCAGUAAGUUAAUACCUUGCUGUUUUGACGUUACCAACAGAAUAAGCACCGGCUAACUUCGUG
rnacentral:rRNA from 1 species